GUUGUUCGGAAUUACUGGGCGUAAAGGGUUCGUAGGCGGCCAACUAAGUCAGACGUGAAAUCCCUCGGCUUAACUGGGGAACUGCGUCCGAUACUGGAUGGCUUGGAUUUGGGAGAGGGAUGCGGAAUUCCAGGUGUAGCGGUGAAAUGCGUAGAUAUCUGGAGGAACACCGGUGGCGAAGGCGGCAUCCUGGACCAAUAUUGACGCUGAGGAGCGAAAGCCAGGGGAGCAAACGGG
rnacentral:rRNA from 1 species